rnacentral:ribozyme from 13 species
AAGAAAAAAAAAAAAACCAAGAAAUAUUUGAAACCAAAACUUCACCCCCAUCUCUCUCUCUCUCUCUUACUUUUCAAUCACCCCUUUUACUUAGGUUUUCCACU